GCGUCAAUGGUGCAACGGUUCAGCACGCUCCCCCAGAUAGGGUGAAUUAUGGGUUCGAAUUCCAACUGUCGCA